GACGAACCGUGCGAACGUUAUUCGGAAUCACUGGGCUUAAAGCGCGUGUAGGCGGGAGGGCACGUCCGUCGCUGAAAUCCCCCGGCUCAACCGGGGAACGGGCGCGGAUACGACCUUCCUGGAGGGGCGUAGGGGGACCUGGAACUUCCGGUGGAGCGGUGAAAUUCGUAGAUAUCGAGAGGAACACCGGUGGCGAAGGCGGCCAACUGGACGAAUACUGACGCUGAGACACGAAAGCGUGGGGAGCAAACAGG
rnacentral:rRNA from 1 species